GAAAUUGGAAUUGUCUAUCCCAAACUUUUAUCAUUUGAAGUAUGCAUACUAGCUAGAGUUACUAUACUAUGGCAUAAAGCAUGCAAAUGAAUUGGGAGGUUCAAAGAGACCGUUGUAAAUUGUCUUUUUUUUUUUGUUUUUUUCUUUUUAUCAAUAUUGGACAACAACUGGCUGAUGCAUUAGCCAAAUUCCUACAGAUAUGUAGGGAGUGGGACUCAAUCCCUGGUAUGAUGAUGUUUGUCCAUCAGUGAACUUAUCAUUUGCCACUAUACUAACGUCACUUUACAACUGGUUGUAAACUGUCAAAAAAGUGAAUUUGCAACUGACUGAGUCCAUGGGCCGGUACAUCCCCGUAAGGCAAAGUCAAACCUUUGUAGUUAGUAUUAGUUAUAACUCUCUUUUGGAGAGCAUACUUUUCUAAACCUAUGAUUUAGCUAGAGGAUUAACAACUAGGCCAACUUAUCACUGGUCAACUAACACUUUUACUGAUGUCAACAACAACAACAAAAAAAA
rnacentral:lncRNA from 1 species